GUGAGCCUCCUUCCCUGGCAGCUCCCACUAAACUGGCAGAAAAUAGCAAUGAGUUGAAGAAAGAAGCCAUUAAACGAAUGUCACAAGGAGCUGAAGAUCUGACACAUAUUAACAACAUUAAGAGCUGGCAAUAUGGUGGCAACCACAAAUUUCAUGCCACUUGGGCCAGAAGUAAAAUGCUACUUGGGUCCAUUUCCUGACUCACCAUGUGAACUAAGACAGUUUUGCUUUCUCUGCCAUCAUAUUGGUUCUUUAUACCACCAUGGACUCUGUCUGAUCUACUGAGGCAAGAGUUCAACCAACAUUGAUGAGAACAGUGACGCUGAGAGACACAUAGCCCAAAGACACACCGUUGGUAUCUGAAGCAAGAUUCAAACUCAGAUCUUCUCAACUCCAUGUUAUACACUUUAUCUGUCAUAUUACUUACCUUAGAGGUAACUGAGAAUUAAAUAGGACUUAGAACUAGAGCCACCGAGAGUUUAUUCAGAAGAGGAGUGGCAUGAUUAUAAUUAAGUUUUGGAAAAUCACCUUGGCAGCUCUAUGGAAGAUGGGCUUGCAAAGGAAAGAGAUUUAAGCCAGGGAGACCAAUGAAGAGGCUUCUGCAAAAGCUUGUGUAACC
rnacentral:lncRNA from 1 species